GGGAAGAAGAUCUGCAAGCGAAACAGCAUGCGAAGCCCCUGACCGCUCAAGCACAUCUGAGCCCAAGACCUGUUGGAGCCUUUUCUAAGAAGAAGAUCUACAGAUGCAUCAGUUCAUCAAUUCUUCAGUUCAUCCCCAGGGCAUACUGGUGCCAUUUCUUUAAGGAACAUGGAGUGCCCCACCCAGCUACGCAGAGCUCUCCAUUACAGGCCUGUUGACCUUUCGUCAUACACCGAAGCUGCCUUGAGCAUUUCAAAAUUUUAAAUGUGUGUCACUUUUCAAAAUAAACACACAGUAUAUUGUGAACAAAAGCAAUA